ACCUUCGUGGUGAAGUGGUUAGCACGUUCGACGCUUAACCGAGAGGUCCGUGGUUAGAUUCCCGGCAAAGGCA
rnacentral:tRNA from 1 species